rnacentral:rRNA from 1 species
CCUACGGGAGGCAGCAGUAGGGAAUUUUCGGCAAUGGGGGAAACCCUGACCGAGCAACGCCGCGUGAGUGAUGAAGGCCUUCGGGUUGUAAAGCUCUGUUGUAAGGGAAGAACGGCGAUGAUAGGGAAUGAUCAUCGAGUGACGGUACCUUACCAGAAAGCCACGGCUAACUACGUGCCAGCAGCCGCGGUAAU